rnacentral:lncRNA from 1 species
GGGGCUGGUGGCCACACCCCGUUGUGGGGUGCGGGGUUGUGGGCGGGAACUGGGGAAGGGGGGCUGAGAGCAAGCCCCCUCCCCAGGAAGCCUCCCGCGCAGCUGCACCCGCCCGCUCCGGGAAGGUGGGGGACUAGCUGGGGCCGAGGACCCGCCGCUGCGCCCCUGGCUCCCGCGGGGGUGGCAGGGUCUGCAUCCCGGGCCCCCAGGGUCCGGGCGGGAGGCCGCGGGGUGCCGGGAGCUCAGUGCGGGGCGCCUGAAGCCGCCAACCCGGAGGAGGGAAGGGGAGAGAGGCGGCGCGGGAGCCCGAGAGCCCGGGAGCCGAGGGGCCCAGCGGCCGCCGCGACGCUGCCGAGGGGCGCCCGGACCCGCCGCCCGCGCCUCCCCGCCCCGCCCGGGGCCUCCGGGGCCUGCGCUCCCCACCCCCGGGCCCCGGGCCCCACAGCCCCCCGCUCCCGCGAGCCCCUGCCCUCCUGCUGGCCCGGGCUGCUCCGAGCCCCUCCGACCGGCUCAGAAUCUGCCCAGGACCCUCCGCCAGUCCCCGCCCAGCUGAGGGCCAGCCCCUGCCCAGGCCCGGGUCAUCUGGGAAUCAGAGAGAGACGGGCGCACGGUCACUUCAAAACCAGGACACAGGUGAAGCCAGGAAGGCAGGAGACCCCCGUGACCAACUCCUCUCUUCACUGUUUGUUUCCCCAACAUUCCUUGGGCACCUGGGGACAGUCGGGCACUCGGCUGCAAGGUGGAUAUAAUGCGCGCCCUCCAGGAAGAAGGUUGGAGGAUGCAGACCUGGACACCCGACUUGACUCAACCUGCUGAUCUGGGGGGUCAGGGAAGGCUUUCAGAAGGAGGUGAGCUCCCAGCUGCACCCCGAAGGUUGAGCUGGAGUUAGCCGGGUGAAGGGAAAGUCAGCCACGUUUCAGGUGGAAUUGUGGGGGGCAUCAUGUUCACCUGACCACACCUGGUGAGUUCAGCUCCGCUUGAGCAAAAUCAAGGGGGGCACGGAAGAAGCCAGCCAGGAGGGCAGCAGUGGGGCACCCAGGAGGGAUGCAGCUGUGAGGGAGAGAUCGGGAGGGGUGGGCGGGAUAGCCAUGGGGUUGAACAGGAAGGGAUGGAUUGUAGAGAUCCUCAGAUGGAAGAAUCUGCAGGGACUGGUGAUGGAUUGGCUUGGAAAGGUGUGGAGGAAGGCCAGAGCGAGAAGGGAGAGCGAGGGUGAACCCCGGGUUUCUGGUUGGGAGUCUGGGCUUUGGGGGAGAAGGUGAAGUUUCAGGAGCCUGUUUCCAAGUGGGAGAGAAUACUUCCAGAAGGGAGGCUUGAGUUGGGCCAAAGCUGUGGUAGCUAAGGACUGAACUGCAGGGAGGCAGCUAGUGGCCCCGGAGGGAGCCGUGCGAUGGGACAGAAAACAGACUGGAGUAGAAUGAGUCUUCCCGAGGUAAAGUGUAGACAGGCAGGGAGUGUAGACCGUGCUUGGAAGGAGGGGAGAGGGUGUUAAGUGGAGGCAGAUGUGGGGUAGAAGGAGGGUCUGGUUGUGUUCUAGGAUGGCAGAGGCAUGAGUGCUUCCAGGAGGAGGUGCAGGCACAGUGAGGGGGCCCCCAAUGAGCACUGCCCAGGCAGGGGGCGGGUUCCCCGGAGCCUUCAAGGCCUGAGUGAUCCAGAGACGUGCCAGCUGGUGAUCUGCUUUUCACCUGUGAGGCUUAGCAGUUUGGGCAUAGACUUGGAGGAAGCAGCCCCACUGAGGUAGAGUGGCCUUUGCGGGGGGGCUUUGGCAGAAGGAUGAAGGAGAAAGUGAAGCUGCAGGACGAGGUAAAUUGCAAGGGAGUCACUGAGGUGAGGUGGCACAGCAGGAGGCUCCGAGGAACUGCUGAGAGCUCCGGGGCUGCCCCUGGCCGGCUAGAGGCCCUGCAGGGUCCCAGCUGAGAGCGCGGCCUAGCCGUGCAUCCCGGAUCUGCCAUGUAGUGUCACCGUGUCUGUGACCCUGGGCACGUCAUGUGACCUCUCGGACCUGUGUCCCCAUCUGGAAACAGAGAUGGCAAUAGCCUGUGCCUAUUGAGUCGUCACGAGGCUGACCUGAGAUGACACGUAACUCAGAUCGAGGGCUCAGAAGGGUGUUCCGCACAGAGGAGGUGCCGUAGCAAUG